GGACUUACAGAGAAAUGUAGCCUUCUAGAACAGCUCAAAAGUUCUCAUGCUUCAUCCCCACCUACAGAUUUCUUUCUGAUAUCCUCAAAGACAGAGAUUUAGAUAUUAUAAAUUUAGCUGUUCUUCACUUUUUCUACUCUGCAGGCUAUUCCUUGCACACAUGGACAAUCUGGGAGAUUCACUGGCUGGCUAUUCCUUGCACACAUGGACAAUCUGGGAGAUUCACUGGCUUUGUUAGCUUUGGGGUCUGCAGUAUUUCAGUGCUGGAGCAGUGUUUCUUCUGUGGCCACGCAACCUGAUAUAUUGGGCCAAACAUUGCUCUGACUUGCCACGUGCCAUCUGACACCAUCAGAGCUUUCAUCUUUGCAUCAUACUCAUCAGCACGGGUCUUCCACUCGUUCCUGUUGUUCAGCAGCCCAUCGAGCAUAGGCUGAAUUUCCUCAUGGAAACGUGAAAAUUCCUGACCAAAAUACAGCCAUCAAUGCCAUGCAAUGUGGAGAUGACAAAGACCAGCUAAUUCCUACCUGGUAUGGAAGGGAAGUGCAGAUAUCUGUUCCCAUACAAUCACCAAACCUCCAAAAGCUGCAACUUGCUUCCCUAAGAUCUGCUGGUGCCUGGUCUCCCUCUGUACUCACGAGCAGGGUCAGUGUCUGCACCUUGAUACACCUUGAAUUUGCCAAUUUGCCUGAAAUGGAAAGUUAGCUGGGGGGUGUAUUGGCCUUGGUUCCUCGGAACUACAGGAGACAAUCUUGUGUUUCGUGUGUUCCUAAAGGGGCUAAUGAUAUGGCUUCUGAAGAAUCCAGGUCAUGUAAAUGUUCUGGUCACUAGGGAGAAGAAAACACUUGAGAGUGGAAGAGAAUGAGCUGGCUGUAGAACCUCAGAAACCCAAACCAGAGAUAUACCCUGUGCUCAAACUGUGGGCCAUGGGUCACAGAAUUUGACAGCCUGGUGUUUACUGAUUAAAAAAAAAGUCACUGCAGUUAAAUUAUUCAGGCUUUUAUAUUACAGUUAAUAACAAACCUCUUCAGAGAGCAAAAACUUUCCAAAAUCCAGGUGAUGUCUCUCUAAAAUUGAAGAUCCAUGAAGUUUAGCUAAAGGAUUUUGAGAUCUGGUAGCAUAAGGGAAAAAUAAAAUAUGUUAGUAUAGCACUUAAAAAAAAAGUAUCCUAUCUGAUAUUUGUCAUGAACAUUCAAUUUAUCUAGCAAAAGCUUAGGAGUAAUAUUGUCAACAGGUGACUCUGCUUAUAGUUAUUUGUACACUGCAUAUAGUAUUCUUCUGCCUGUGGAUUUCACCUAAAUUGUUUUUCUUAGUAGAACUUUCGUUAUUGGGCAUAAUGAACUUCUUGUUAAGUUCCUGAAACAGUACGUUUUGGCAUCUGUUAAUAGGAACUGAAAAACCACUGGUCCUUGAACAUCUUCCUAGGCAAAGUGCAAGACGAUCUCAUAUUCAAAGCACUUGUGAUGAACUUGCAGCUUCACUUACAUUUUUUCAAAGCUCCAGAAAGCAGUGGGAUAGCACAGCCAAAAAGCAUUGCAGAAGAGCUAUGAUCUGACACUACCUUGCUGUUUUUUUUCAAUCAGCUACUGGAAGCAGAACUCACAUCCUCACAUAUGUGAUAGGUUUCUGCAGGCAGCAAAGUCAGUGCUAUGCAUAGUGCUUUCCAGCAGAAAGCAUGCUUCCUAUGUCCAGGAUGGUCAUGGAAGCAUCCUGCUUCUCCUGUGAUGCUCAGACCACUAAAUGCCUGCAUUGCACCUGGCCUACCUUGUACCAACAGUGUAGAGCUUUGGUUUAACCAAAGAGCUGAGGGCAGCCUGCUAGGAGGCAGAGCCCAAGUUUACAGUAUGCAGAAAAGAGAAGUUAAUUGACAAGUAAGACUGUUACCCUGCAUAUAACAGAGCUGUGCAGGAGUUUAGUGGGAUCACAGCCUGAAUCCACUCCACGCAAGAGAAGCAGGAAAUGGUUGGAAGUGGCAAGAAAGCACUUACUUCAUCUGGUAGAGGUUGUUGGUUCCUCUGUGGUCUAUAUCAUGGCACAGAGCAGCAGUUACCAUUGCAAAGGCUUCAAGGUCUGUGUAGUAGCGCUUCAGUUUGCCUGUCUGGAGGGUGAAAAUGUGCAUGCCAUCUGUUAGUAUGUCUUACAGGAAAAGGUAUGGGACUGUGACUUGGACAACCCCCACUGAGACAGCCCAGGAGAACUGGAACAAAGAUAGAUAUUACAUACAGCAUGUUUAGAUCAAAAUGGGGAAGCAACUGGAAACAAAAGGUUUCAGACUCAAGUAGACGCCUGUCGUGUGUAUAUGCUUGAUGCCCAUCUGCAAGGUUGGUUGCCUGCUGCUACAGCAGCAUUAUGCCAUUGGGGCGCUUGCACCCUGACAGCUACCUGCAUGCCUUCAGUGCUGGGCCGUAGGGCUGAUCCAUCACAAGCCUAUGGUGACUAGAGCACUUCUGAUGCCUCUGUUCUUUUGUGGGCAUCUCUCACCCAUGAGAAAUGGCACUUUGCUACACUCAUACUACAAUCAAAGAGUCUUCAAGAUUGUAAAAGACCACUAAGAUCACCAAGUUUAAUUGUCAGCUCCCUCCCACCGUGCCCACCAACCACA